AGCAACGCCGCGUGAGUGAUGACGGCCUUCGGGUUGUAAAACUCUGUCUUCAGGGACGAUAAUGACGGUACCUGAGGAGGAAGCCACGGCUAACUACGUGCCAGCAGCCGCGGUAAUACGUAGGUGGCAAGCGUUGUCCGGAUUUACUGGGCGUAAAGGGAGCGUAGGCGGAUGUUUAAGUGGGAUGUGAAAUACUCGGGCUCAACUUGAGUGCUGCAUUCCAAACUGGAUAUCUAGAGUGCAGGAGAGGAAAGGAGAAUUCCUAGU
rnacentral:rRNA from 1 species